CACGCAGGCGGUCGUGUAAGUUUGGGGUUACAGCUCCCGGCUCAACUGGGAGAGCGCCUUGAAGACUGCAGGACUUGAGGGCCAGAGAGGGACACAGAAUUCCGGGUGUAGUGGUGAAAUGCGUAGAUAUCCGGAGGAAUACCAAAGGCGAAGGCAGUGUCCUGGCUGGUGACUGACGCUGAGGUGCGAAAGCUAGGGGAGCGAACGGGAUUAGAUACCCCGGUAGUCCUAGCCGUAAGCGAUGACCACUAGGUAUGGGAGGUAUCGACCCCUUCCGUGCCGCAGUUAACACAGUAAGUGGUCCGCCUGGGGAGUACGGUCGCAAGAUUAAA
rnacentral:rRNA from 1 species